UGGGAUGACGUCAAGUCCUCAUGGCCUUUAUGCCCAGGGCUACACACGUGCUACAAUGGGUGGUACAAAGAGAGGCAAGCUCGCGAGAGUAAGCAAAUACUCAAAAAGCCAUCCUCAGUUCGGAUUGGAGUCUGCAACUCGACCCCAUGAAGUCGGAAUCGCUAGUAAUCGCGGAUCAGCAUGCCGCGGUGAAUACGUUCCCGGGCCUU
rnacentral:rRNA from 1 species